AUGAAUCGAAUUGGCGUGUUGGAUCACAUAUUGCCACCCCUGGCAUAAGAUCAAGCACGCCUCUUCUUUUUCCUCCAUCAUCCAAAUUUAAUAAUUCUAAAGGUGCCAAAGCAAUACCCCAACGUAGCCACCCUCAACGUGUCUUUGCAGGGCGCGAUGUUGUCCGGCACGGAAUAGAAUCCAGCUCGUUCCGAGUUGGUCGCUCUACUGAGUAACGUUGUCGUGACCCUUUCCUAAUACUCCCUAAUUUAUUCCGACAAUUCGAACAGCAUCGGCCUCAGCUCCUCGGAAGCAAACACCCCUCUUUUUCUCUGCAACCCAGACCCAAAAUUUUCCCAACUUGAGCUGAUAUUUUUACUAAAUUCGGAAGCAAAUCUUUCCCUGCAAAUCUAAUCGGAGGAUCCGUGUGCAGACAUGGCGGCUCCGACCAGAAAGAUCUCAGCUGCAUCCGCUAGGGCUCACACCCGAAAACGGAAGCAUUCCACAUCGUUCCCCCUUCCGCCAGGUGGGACUCUGCUCUCGUGUCCCCUCCUCUCUUUGUGUGUUCGUGAAUGGUUUACAGGGAAUCAGUAAUAGAGAGGCUUUUUUUACUUCUAACUUUAUGCUGGAAUUAAUUCUUAUCUAAAUUUUGACUAUUCUUCUUCUUUAAUGGAUGCAUCUCUUAUGUUUUUAUCAUUCUUCUUUUUGAGUGAUUUUUAUGCUAUUAAUAGAAGGGAAAGAAAAUUUGGUUCGAUGUAAAGUCGAAUGAAGCACCCUGCCAACAUUACUGUAGAGAGAUGACUUUGAGCUUAAUGUUAGAUGUGUGAUCCACUCAAAUAACUCUGCCAAACUAGCUUAAUGUUUAGUUUUCCAACAGCACACUUCAGUUCUGAGGGUGGUUCUUUGGUUCUGAAUGCAUCAGCUGCCGGUGACUCGUUGUCCUUCAAGCUAUAGACAUCAAAAUUUAAGUCUAUUACAGUGGCCACAUCUUAAUUUGCUUGACUCAAGUUUUUACGAAAGCAAGCUCAAGCUCUUGUACUCAACUAAUGCUGUUACAUAUUUAUUAUGCAAGAGCAAAGCUGCACCACUUGACUUGGGGUAUUUACCCAUGGACAUAUUCUCACACUCAACUGCCUUGUGUAGACAUGCUACUUUUAACUGGCCACAAGCUAAAAGACACCUAUACUAGUGUACACAUCGACUUGAGGUGUUUGCGUUUGGAUAGAUGUCAAUCCAUUGCUGUCUUAUAAAACUAGCCUCCAACUAAUCUUGUAGUUAAUUAUAAUCAUGCCUUUAAUUAAUUUUUAAUUCUCUAGGUCAUAUAUGUAUCCAUUUCCUUCAUAUCCAUCUUGACCACAUAGCCAACAUUUUUUACUCAGACCAUUACAUUUCAUUUUUUGGAAUCCCACCAGGAUAUGAUAUAUGAAUGAGUUCUGUUGAAAAUAUUCUAAUUGAUUUAGUAAUGUUUUCGAAAGGAAUUUACUGACAUGGAUUAGAGUUUUAUUCUAUAAUUAUCUUAUUUUAAGUGUUCAAGCUAAGGUUUUCAAAAUAAGAUCUUAACAUAGUUAAUUUUGAUGGGAUGCACAUGGUACCUCGACCAUGUUCAAAGAAGUGAUAAUGGAAAUUAGUAUUUCUCAAUGACAAAGAUGUAUCCAUUGGUAUCCAAUGUCAUUCGGCUCAUCCAAGAGAUUUUAAUGGAGUUAGUUACUCAAAAAUAAGUUUUCUUUUUCAAAGAAAUGAAGUGUGUUUCCCUAAAUUUUCAUGCACAUAUGCUCUUCAUCAUGUGGGUGGGUCUUCUUAUCUGCUUUUCCUCCUUUGAUAUUAAGGUGUAAUGUUACCUUAGGCCCUCUUGUUUCUCACCAUGUUGCUAAUGCCUCUUCAUUCCCCUAUUUUUCAUGGCCACAUAAAUGAAGAGAGAUAAUCUGCAUGAAUUGUUCAUCUUAUAAACUUCUAAUCUCGUCUCUCGCAUAUCUUCAUCAAAUAUUCUAUUUUGUUUUUCCUUUUCAUUAUCACUUUAGUGAUAUGUCAAAGCUAGGGGUGGAAACUUAUGACCCGACCCAUAACUAACCCACUUUAAGGUGGUUCAGGUUUUGCAUAAACCGGUCGGGAUGUAAAAGGUCAACUUGACCUAACUCGUUUAUUAAACAGGUCAAGUUUAGGUUUAGAAUCCUGACUUUUUAAACUAGUUUUAACUCGUUUAAUAGUUGGGUUGGUUGGGUUGCAUUGUCACCCAAUCUAUUUAACCUAUUUAUUCUACUCAAAAAAUAUUUAACCCAUUUAACCUUAUUAAACCGAUUAUCCACGUCGGGUCAAGUUACUUGUUAAAUAAAAAUGUUGGGUUAGAUUUGGAUUUUUGUCUCGUUUAAUAAGCAGGUCAAGUUCAAGUUUUGUGAUAUUUAACAUAACCUGCCCCAGUCCAACCUGUAUCUG
rnacentral:lncRNA from 1 species